rnacentral:rRNA from 1 species
GAUGAACGCUGGCGGCGUGCCUAAUACAUGCAAGUCGAGCGAACGGACGAGAAGCUUGCUUUUCUGAUGUUAGCGGCGGACGGGUGAGUAACACGUGGAUAACCUACCUAUAAGACUGGGAUAACUUCGGGAAACCGGAGCUAAUACCGGAUAAUAUUUUGAACCGCAUGGUUCAAAAGUGAAAGACGGUCUUGCUGUCACUUAUAGAUGGAUCCGCGCUGCAUUAGCUAGUUGGUAAGGUAACGGCUUACCAAGGCAACGAUGCAUAGCCGACCUGAGAGGAGGAUCGGCCACACUGGAACUGAGACACGGUCCAGACUCCUACGGGAGGCAGCAGUAGGGAAUCUUCCGCAAUGGGCGAAAGCCUGACGGAGCAACGCCGCGUGAGUGAUGAAGGUCUUCGGAUCGUAAAACUCUGUUAUUAGGGAAGAACAUAUGUGUAAGUAACUGUGCACAUCUUGACGGUACCUAAUCAGAAAGCCACGGCUAACUACGUG